UAUUACUCAUUUAUAAUUAUUAAAAAAUGGUGGAGGGAGCGUGGAAUAAGGGUAACUUAAUUUGAACAAUGGCAUGCCUUCUCUUCACUCAAUCAUACUUCCUUGCCUCUCAUAAUUCUCACUCUUUCCACAAUCUUCUUCCCCAACUCUCUUCUGCAAGUCUCCUUCUCCAUUACCGAACCUUGUCGCCAUUUCUUAUAUACAUAUAUAUAUAUAUAUAUAUAAUUGACAACUCUCCAAGUUUCGCGUUUUGUUCUAAGCCCAGAAGCGAAUUGAGAGCAGUGUCACCCAAAAGUAUACAAAAUCCGGACGCUAUAUCGUACUUAACACAACGUCAAGCUGCCGAGAUCGAUGAGGCAUGGGCCCUCUUGGAUUUAGUGUCGAUCAAUUAAUGGAAUUGGCUGGUUUGAGCGUGGCUGAUGCUAUAACAGAGGUCGGUGCAUUGAAUCAUGAGACAAAUGUGAAAAGAAAAGGAAAUAGUGAAAAAAAGGAGUUUUCAAUGGUCCCUUGACUCAAUAUGUGCUAAGGACGAGUUAUAAUAAGUUUCUGAUGAAGGAAGGAUGUUGAAAGGUUAAAAAUUGAAAACAAUAGAAUUAGAGUCGCGACAUUGGGUUAAGGGCCACGACUUGCUCUUAUAAGUCGCGAUGCUAGUGGAAGUCAGAGGCGAACCUAGGUGGUGCAUCUACACGCGGGCCGCGACUGGGGUUUAGAGAGUUGCAGUGCCUGAAGACCUGACCAGACUUUGAAUUGCCUUAAAAACAACACGGGCCGCGACCUAGGAAAGGCCAAGUCGCAGCCCACCUAUGAAAAAAACGAAUUCAUGGUUUUUUUUGUAUAAAUUCAGACUUUAUAUUUUAAUUAAGGUUAGGUCAGAUUUUAAUUAUAAGUUUAGAAAUUAAAAUUUGAUUCUGAGACUAGUUUUUCUGCACUUUCAUAUUUUUUAUUUCUUCUUUAAGUCUUUGAAUUUUAUGUUUAUGAAUAAUUAUUUUUUUGUUUUAGUCAUGUUUGAUAUGAACUAAACACUUCUAUCUAAGGUUUAAUGUAGUCACUUGGAUUUUUAUUUAAUGUUAUUAUGAUGUUCUAUUGAUUUUUCUUAUAUA